rnacentral:rRNA from 1 species
CAAACUAAAGAUGGCGACCGGCGCACGGGUGAGUAACACGUAUCCAACCUGCCGAUAACUCGGGGAUAGCCUUUCGAAAGAAAGAUUAAUACCCGAUGGUAUAAUCAGACCGCAUGGUUUGAUUAUUAAAGAAUUUCGGUUAUCGAUGGGGAUGCGUUCCAUUAGGCAGUUGGUGAGGUAACGGCUCACCAAACCUUCGACGGAUAGGGGUUCUGAGAGGAAGGUCCCCCACAUUGGAACUGAGACACGGUCCAA